rnacentral:rRNA from 1 species
AGAGUUUGAUCCUGGCUCAGAAUCAACGCUGGCGGCGUGCCUAACACAUGCAAGUCGAACGCGAAAGCCCCGCAAGGGGUAAGUAGAGUGGCAAACGGGUGAGUAACACGUGGGUGACCUGCCUUCGAGUGGGGGAUAACGUCCCGAAAGGGACGCUAAUACCGCAUGACAUCCUGCUCUUGGACGAGCGGAGAUCAAAGCUGGGGAUCGCAAGACCUGGCGCUUGAAGAGGGGCCCGCGUCUGAUUAGCUAGUUGGUGAGGUAACGGCUCACCAAGGCGACGAUCAGUAUCCGGCCUGAGAGGGCGGACGGACACACUGGGACUGAGACACGGCCCAGACUCCUACGGGAGGCAGCAGUGGGGAAUUGUUCGCAAUGGGCGCAAGCCUGACGACGCAACGCCGCGUGGAGGAUGAAGAUCUUCGGGUCGUAAACUCCUGUCGAGCGGGAAGAACGUUUCGCGGAUGAAUAAGCCGCGGAAGUGACGGUACCGCUAAAGGAAGCCCCGGCUAACUCCGUGCCAGCAGCCGCGGUAAU